ensembl:lncRNA
CACACACACAUCAAUGGCUCUGAUGCACUAUUUACACUGUUUACACUGAUGGACCAUUUACACUGUUACUGUGGAGACAGGGAGGAAGGGAGACAGGGAGACAGGGAGGAAGGGAGGAAGGGAGACAGGGAGACAGGGAGGAAGGGAGACAGGGAGGAAGGGAGGAAGGGAGACAGGGAGACAGGGAGGAAGGGAGGCAGGGAGGCAUGGAGACAGGGAGACAGAGAUACAGGGAGACAGGGAGGAAGGGAGACAGGGAGACAGGGAGGAAGGGAGGAAGGGAGACAGGGAGGCAGGGAGACAGGGAGACAGAGAGGCAGGGAGACAGGGAGACAGGGAGACAGGAGACAGAGAUACAGGGAGGCAGGGAGACAGGGAGACAGGGAGACAGGGAGGAAGGGAGACAGGGAGACAGGGAGGAAGGGAGACAGGGAGGAAGGGAGACAGGGAGACAGGGAGGAAGGAGACAGGGAGACAGGGAGGAAGGGAGACAGGGAGACAGGGAGACAGAGAUACAGGGAGGCAUGGAGACAGGGAGGAAGGAGACAGGGAUACAGGGAGACAGGGAUACAGGGAGGCUGGGAGGAAGGGAGGAUACAGGGAGGCAGGGAGGAAGGGAGGAAGGGAGACAGGGAGGAAGGGAGACAGGGAGACAGGGAGGAAGGAGGAAGGAGACAGGGAGACAGGGAGACAGGGAGGAAGGGAGG